UGCUCAGGUAGGGUAAUCCUUACCUGUUCCUCUUAUUGGAAGGCAGAUUGGAACACGAUGAUUUGAGAUCGCAUGAUUCGUGAUUAACGUCUCUGUGUAAUCAGGACAUGCAACACCCUGAUUGCUCCUAUCUGAU